rnacentral:rRNA from 1 species
ACGUAGGGGGCGAGCGUUGUUCGGAUUUACUGGGCGUAAAGAGCGCGUAGGCGGUACGAUAAGUCGGAGGUGAAAUCCCUCGGCUCAACCGAGGACCCGCGUCCGAUACUGUCGAACUUGAGUGCAGGAGAGGAGAGCGGAAUUCCCAGUGUAGCGGUGAAAUGCGUAGAUACUGGGAGGAACACCGGUGGCGAAGGCGGCUCUCUGGACUGUCACUGACGCUGAGGCGCGAAAGCUAGGGGAGCAAACGGGAUUAGAUACCCCGGUAGUCCUAGCCGUAAACGAUGGGCACUAGGUGUGGGAGGUAUUGACCCCUUCCGUGCCGCAGCUAACGCAUUAAGUGCCCCGCCUGGGGAGUACGGCCGCAAGGUUG